UAAAAAAAAAAAAAAAAAAAGAAUGUGGGUUAUUUAUGAUCAUUGAAAAGCUUAGACCUUUUCUCUUUUUCUUCUUGGAUUGGGGACUGGGGAAUGUAAAAAAUAAUUCUUUUUGGUAAUGCAAAAAAACCCUUGUAAUUUCGUGGCAAUGGAAGCUUCAAAAUCUCAAUUUGUUUUACUUCAUUUCUCAUCUAUCAUUUAAGAUUUAAGCCUUUAGUUUUUUUUUUUUAAG
rnacentral:misc_RNA from 1 species